GUGAAACCGCGAAUGGCUCAUUAUAACAGCUAUAAUUUACUUGAUCUUGACUCUAUCCUACUUGGAUAACUGUGGUAAUUCUAGAGCUAAUACAUGCAUUAAAGCUCCGACCUCACGGGAAGAGUGCAUUUAUUAGAACAAAACCAAGCGGCUUCGGCUGUUUUCGGUUGACUCAUAGUAACUGAGCUGAUCGCAUGGUCUUGCACCGGCGACGUGUCUUUCAAGUAUCUGCCGUAUCAACUUUCGAUGGUAGUGUAUCUGACUACCAUGGUGAUCACGCGUAACGGAGAAUAAGGGUUCGGCUCCGGAGAGUUCGCCUGAGAAAUCGCGAACACAUCUAAGGAAGGCAGCAGGCGCGAAAAUUACCCACUCUCAGCACGAGGAGGUAGUGACGAAAAAUAACGAGACCGUUCUCUUUUGAGGCCGGUCAUCGGAAUGGGUACAAUUUAAACCCUUUAACGAGUAUCUAUGAGAGGGCAAGUCUGGUGCCAGCAGCCGCGGUAAUUCCAGCUCUCAAAGUGCAUAGAAUUAUUGCUGCGGUUAAAAAGCUCGUAGUUGGAUCUGUGCCAUAGGACUGGGUCUACCUUCGGGUUAGUACUUAGCUCCUAGGCUUUUUGCUGGUUUUCCCGUCGUAGCCUUUACUGGUUGCGGCGGGUGGCUGGCGAGUUUACUUUGAGAAAAUCAGAGUGCUCAAUACAGGCGUAUUGCUUGAAUGAUUGUGCAUGGAAUAAUAGAAAAGGAUUUCGGUCCUCUUUUAUUGGUUUUGUGGACUGAGAUAAUGGUUAACAGGGACAAACGGGGGCAUUCGUAUCGCUGCGUGAGAGGUGAAAUUCUUGGACCGUAGCGAGACGCCCUACUGCGAAAGCAUUUGCCAAGAAUGUCUUCAUUAAUCAAGAACGAAAGUCAGAGGUUCGAAAGCGAUCAGAUACCCGCCCUAGUC
rnacentral:rRNA from 1 species